UUUUAGUAAAAUCACUAAUCAAAACUAACUUUCUAUGUGAAAGCUCUAUGGUGAACAAUGCAUUUGCAGCUUUAUAUGAUUUUGAAGACAUAAUAGAAUUUAGACUAUUCAGAAUAAGCCGCUUCUCUUAAAAAAUUGAUGUGUUAUGGCAAAAUUGCAUUACUAAAUGAAUGGAUAAUCAUGAACUAAGGAAUCAGAAUCAUAUCCGUAGUAAGGAUUUUUUUUUCGGAGUGGAGCUAAUUGUCAUCCAACCUUGAAAGAAAAAUGUCACAGCAUUAGCCAAAAA
rnacentral:misc_RNA from 1 species